AAUCUUAGAAGUUAAUAACAAUUAAACAGGAGGUAAAAUAGAAUUUUAGAUUUAUUGUUUGUAGUUGAAAAAGAUCUAAAAAAAAUUGUGAGGAUUGAAAAAAAAAUUGAAGGAACAAUAAAAACGUAUCGGGAAGGUUGGUAGCGUGGAAACGUCAGCGCCAUUGCAGAGUUGCCGUGUGAGUGGAAAACCGAAUGGAGUUAUGUUAUUAUCAGAUGUGAAAUAAUUUCUAGUCAGGAAAACGUACAAACAUAACAAGAACAGUCAGUUCCGCCUAAACUAAACAAUUUACGACGUGGUAGUGAGCGUAACACCGGCAAAAUGACGACUGGGAAUAUGGUGCACUGUCAGCUCUGGAUGGGCGGUUUGGAGCCGUACAUGACAGAGUCUUUUAUUCUUGCCUCAUUCCAAAGAAUGGGCGAGAAACCUUUAAACGUUAAAGUAAUGAGAAACAAAUUUACUGGCGAACCAGCCGGUUACUGUUUCGUUCAUUUUGAAAAUGACGAAGAGGCCAUCGAUGCCAUGCACAAAUUAAAUGGAAAAGUCAUCCCUAAUACAAGUCCCGCUGUAAGAUUCCGUUUGAACACGGCAACAAAUCAGGGUAAAAUUAUGAUGAACGAAAGAGAAUUUUCACUGUGGGUCGGUGAUCUCACAACAGAAGUUGAUGAUUAUACAUUAUACAAAACUUUUGCGGGAAAAUACCAAUCUAUAAAGGCAGCGAAAGUUAUAUUGGAUGCCUCUGGAUACAGUAAAGGUUUUGGUUUCUUGAGAUUUGGUUCUGAAGAAGAACAAAAACAUUGUUUACAACAUAUGAAUGGUUAUAAAGGAUUAGGCUCUAAACCAUUAAAAAUUUCUAAUGCGAUACCAAAGACUCAAAGAGCAACAACAACAAAUGGAACUACGACCACAGCUUCUACCGGGCAAUACCAGUAUCAAGAGUAUUCCCAGUAUUAUGACCCUGCAACAUAUUGGCAAAAUUAUUCGCAGUGGGGUUAUGGCUACGAUCCAAGUUCUGGAAAUUACAGCUAUGACCCAAAUCAGUAUGCUCAACACUAUGGCAAUCAGUACAAUCAAUAUGCUCAACAAUACGGACAGCAAUACUCUCAACAGUACUCACAAUAUUCUCAGCAAUAUUCGCAGUACUACCAACAGCAGCAACAGCAACAACAGCAGCCUGCAACAGCCACCACGACUGUCACGGCGUCAGUUCCUCAAGCAGCGAUCGACGACACUUCAGAAGUUGUAGAUGUAACUCCGUCUGUCGAGCGAUGAACAACUCUACACUGAAAAUUAGGAGGUAAACAACGUCAUUUCGACACAAAGGUGUUUCUUUCCCUCAAGACUCUUAUUUUGACUGAUCACAGCCCACCAAUAGACGUUGAAAAAGAAAACAGGGAAUACUCAGAAGCAGUCCUUUCCUUUUGGGAUGAAAUCGCCUCUGUUGGAUACACCGAUCCAGAAUUUUAUGAGAUGGAAGUUGCAAAGAUGAAAGUUGUAGGACUUGGGUCGCCCAUCCCACCUGACUAGGAGAGCCCAAGUAUAACUUAAAACGACAAACUCUUUUUGUACAAUACUGGAAAUUGGAAAGCAAAAUGUGUAAAAAAAUUUAUGACAAUGUAAAUAUCUUGCACUGUAAAAGCUGUGUAAGGUUGUAUAUAUUAUAUAUGUAGGAUUUCACUUCAUUAAUGUGAUUUAAAAGCCAAUAUAAGAAAAGACUUUGUUUUUACAUAAGAGUGUAUAUAUUUAUAUCUUAAAGACUUACGUGUGAAAAUUCCAAACUGAGACAACAAAAGUAAAUAUGUAAGAUAGAUAUUGAUAUUAAAACAAUUUUUCAAUUAUAUUUCAUUCAGUAAGUCAUACAAUUGAAAUAAUAAAAUUAAAAUAAAAAUUAUUU
rnacentral:misc_RNA from 1 species